AUUGAACGCUGGCGGCAUGCCUUACACAUGCAAGUCGAACGGCAGCACGGGAGCAAUCCUGGUGGCGAGUGGCGAACGGGUGAGUAAUAUAUCGGAACGUGCCCAGUCGUGGGGGAUAACGCAGCGAAAGCUGUGCUAAUACCGCAUACGAUCUAAGGAUGAAAGCGGGGGAUCGCAAGACCGCGCGCGAUUGGAGCGGCCGAUAUCAGAUUAGCUAGUUGGUGGGGUAAAGGCCCACCAAGGCGACGAUCUGUAGCUGGUCUGAGAGGACGACCAGCCACACUGGAACUGAGACACGGUCCAGACUCCUACGGGAGGCAGCAGUGGGGAAUUUUGGACAAUGGGCGCAAGCCUGAUCCAGCAAUGCCGCGUGCAGGAUGAAGGCCUUCGGGUUGUAAACUGCUUUUGUACGGAACGAAACGGCCCUUUCUAAUACAGGGGGCUAAUGACGGUACCGUAAGAAUAAGCACCGGCUAACUACGUGCCAGCAGCCGCGGUAAGAC
rnacentral:rRNA from 1 species